AGUGACGGUUAACGGGGAAUUAGGGUUCAAUUCCGGAGAGGGAGCCUGAGAAACGGCUACCACAUCUAAGGAAGGCAGCAGGCGCGCAAAUUACCCAAUUCUAACAGCAUAAGAGAGGUAGUGACAAGAAAUAACAGUACAAGGCAGUUAAAAUGCUUUGUAAUUGGAAUGAUAGAAAUUUAAAUACUUUUUAAAGUAUCAAUUGGAGGGCAAGUCUGGUGCCAGCAGCCGCGGUAAUUCCAGCUCCAAUAGCGUAUAUUAAAAUUGUUGCAGUUAAAAAGCUCGUAGUUGAAUUUUUGCUAAAAAUAACCGGUCUGCUAUUAUUACUAAAAGUGGUAUCUUGGUGUGUUUUUAGCAAUAAUGUCCUUUGAAAUGUUUUUUACUUUAAUGUAAAAAGCAAUUUUCAGGAUUUUUACUUUGAGAAAAUUAGAGUGUUUCAAGCAGGCUAACGUUUUGAAUACUGCAGCAUGGAAUAAUAAAUUAGGAUUUUAGUUCUACGUUAUUGGUUUUAAGAGCUAAAUUAAUGAUUGAUAGGAGCAGUUGGGGGCAUUUGUAUUUAACUGUCAGAGGUGAAA
rnacentral:rRNA from 1 species